rnacentral:lncRNA from 1 species
GGACCCUACUGGUUCCCCUAACGCGGAGAGCCAUAUGAGUGAGAACCUGGUGAAGCACAUCAGUUCAUUCCAGUCAUUCGCAGCAGAGAACUGGAAGGAAAGGUGGCCAAAGGAAUAAUUGGCUUUGGGAGUGACCAGUGAGAUAUACCUACUGGAGCGCAUGCUACGGAUACUGGUUUGAGGAACGAACCCGCAGAACUGGGACAGAAUCUGUUUUCAGCAAUGUUCCCUGGCAGGCGAUGACAAUACCGCACACCAAGCAAAGCGACGGCUACAAUUGUGGAAUUUAUGUGCUGCUGAUGAGUUCAUAUGCUAAUUAGUUCCCAGGAUAAAUCAGGAGGCAAAUUUGUUAUUUUAGAAAUCUGUGCGUAACCCUUAAGGGUAGGCCACCCAAAAAUGAGUAAAAAGCAAAUGCACCCAAUGUUCACAUUAAGAGAUCUUUGAGGGUUUAGCCAAAGUCAUUCCAUUGAAAGGAUUAGAUUAGCAUAACAAAUUAGUAUACAUUUCACACCUGUCAUGUGCACACCUAAGAAAAUGGUCUGAAACAGGAAGGGACCCAUGUGUAUGUGUUCAAGAGGAAACCAUUUUUUUCCUAUUGCUAACCGAUGUGCUAUGGUAUCCACUAAUGAAUAUGACUCAGGUCAAUAAGGAACUUGGUUGCUAUGUUAAAUGUUGGUAUCAGUGGAGCUUCAACAUCACCAGUGUGCUGCCUUGUUUUCAUGAUUACAGCCAAGCGACAAAGGUUUUCCAAAGUAUGGCCAGAAAGUUAAUGCAGAGAGAGAAGGCACUAAGUCACCCAACUGUCCCAAUGCAUGUUAACAUCGGUGGUGCCAGAAUGGAGGUGGCCAAAGAGAUCCUGGACAAAGAACUUGACAGGAAACUCUACUGCAGUUUCUGUGCAACAGAUGAGGGGGGAGACUGGAUGGAGUGCUCCACAUGCUCCAGUUGGUACCACACCUCCUGUGCUGGGGUAUCCAUCAGCAUUUACCAUCAACACAUGGAUAAUCCUGCCUUACAAUGGAUAUGCCCACCCUGCGACAAUUGAAGACCUGCACACCAAGGCUACUAUUGGGUUGAUACUGUGUCAAAUCGAUAUAAUGUCCAGAGGUGUAAACGAUUUACAACUACAGUAGAUGGUAUAUUUUAGGGCUGUCCCCAACGAAAAAAAAUCUUGGUUGAUUUGCACUGAGCUUGUCUACAUAUGCACUGAGCUUGUCUGAUGCUUAAGCACACUGUUUGAUUUCAUUUUGCUGUUGCGUUAGGCUUGACGCUCAUGGAAUCAAUAAGCUAUUAAACACUCAAACAGCCAAUAGAAGCAGGGACGAUGUUAUUUCUGUAGAUGUAUAGAUUUAUCAAGCCAAGGCGAUUUAUAAUUUAGUUAGGUCGCGCAGUUGCCAUACCAGGGCAGUGAUGCAACCUGUCAGGAUGCUCUCGACGGUACAGCUGUAAAUCCCUUUGAGGAUCUGAGUAUCCAUUCCAAAUCUUUUCUGUCUCCUGAGUGGGAAUAUGUUUUGACGUACCCUCUUCACAACUGUCUUGGUGUGCUUGGACAAUGUUCUUUUGUUGGCGAUGUGGACACCAAGGAACUUGAAGCUCUCAACCUGCUCCACUACAGCCCCAUCGAUGAGAAUGGGGGCAUGUUCGG